rnacentral:rRNA from 1 species
AUUGAACGCUGGCGGAAUGCCUUACACAUGCAAGUCGAACGGCAGCACGGGGCAACCUGGUGGCGAGUGGCGAACGGGUGAGUAAUACAUCGGAACGUGCCCAAUCGUGGGGAUAACGUAGCGAAGUUACGCUAAUACCGCAUACGAUCUACGGAUGAAAGCGGGGGAUCGCAAGACCUCGCGCGAGUGGAGCGGCCGAUGUCAGAUUAGGUAGUUGGUGGGGUAAAGGCUCACCAAGCCAACGAUCUGUAGCUGGUCUGAGAGGACGACCAGCCACACUGGAACUGAGACACGGUCCAGACUCCUACGGGAGGCAGCAGUGGGGAAUUUUGGACAAUGGGCGCAAGCCUGAUCCAGCCAUUCCGCGUGCAGGAUGAAGGCCUUCGGUUGUAACUGCUUUGUACGGUAACGAAACGGCGAGCUCUAAUACAGUUUG